CGUAUGAUGUAGUAGCGUGCCAUGGUUCCAUGUGGCCUCGCAUAAUUGCAAAAUCCGCUCAACUUGGAUGAAUUUUAUGUCAGGAGUUUCAAGUCCAGCCCACUCCCUCUCCUCUUAAUUUAUCGCUAAACCUCUGUCGCAUUCCACUGUCUUCACCCUCACAGUUGUCGUCCACCAUGCUGACCCACUUGUUCCGUAUUCAUGGCCAUGUGGUGGCUUCCCAUCCAUGGGAGGUCAUCGUAGGCACCGUCACCCUCACGGUCUGUAUGAUGUCGAUGAAUAUGUUCACUGGAAACGACCAAAUCUGUGGCUGGAACUUUGACUGCCCUAAAACAGAUGAGCAAAUUCUGAGCAGUGACAUCAUCAUCCUGACCAUCACACGUUGCAUUGCCAUCAUCUACAUUUACUUCCAGUUCCAGAACUUAAGACAACUGGGAUCCAAAUAUAUUUUAGGCAUUGCAGGGCUUUUCACGAUUUUUUCCAGCUUCGUAUUCAGCACCGUGGUCAUUCACUUCCUUGAUAAAGAGCUGACUGGCCUUAACGAGGCGUUACCUUUCUUUCUGCUCCUGAUCGACCUGUCCAAAGCAUGCGCCCUUGCAAAGUUUGCCCUUAGCUCCAAUUCUCAGGAUGAAGUUAGGGAAAAUAUUGCUCGAGGUAUGGCAGUAUUGGGACCUACAUUCACCUUAGAUGCUCUGGUGGAGUGCUUAGUGAUCGGUGUGGGAACCAUGUCAGGUGUUCGACAGUUAGAAAUAAUGUGCUGCUUUGGCUGCAUGUCUAUUUUGGCCAACUAUUUUGUCUUCAUGACAUUCUUCCCUGCAUGUGUGUCACUUGUUCUGGAGCUUUCUCGUGAGAGUCAGGAAGGCCAUCCGAUUUGGCAGUUGAGCCAGUUCUCUCAGGUGCUGGAGGAAGAGCAGGAUAACAAACCAAAUCCUGUCACCCAGAGAGUAAAAAUGAUUAUGUCCCUGGGCCUUGUUAUGGUUCAUGCUCACAGUAGGUGGAUUGCUGAGCCCCUGUUGCUCAAUGCUACAGUGGGAAUUCCACAGGGUGCCAUUGAUGAAGAACGCCUGUACCCCAGGAGGAUCGAACCAGAGAUACCUCUGUGGCAUUUUUACCUUACCAGAAUGAUCACCAUGGAUAUUGAGCAGGUAAUCUGCUUGUCCUUGGCUCUGCUUCUGGCCAUCAAGUACAUCUUCUUUGAGCAAGCGGAGACGGAGUCUACCCUAUCAAUAAGGAACCACAUCACUAUGUCCACCCUGCCCCUGGCUCCACGGCAGGCCAUGGAGACUUGCUGCAGGAAGGAACUUGAGCUUCUACAACACCACACACCCUCUCCCAUUUUGCCUUCCACCACACUAUCCAACGGGAAAGAUAUAGGUUCUCCAGAUGAGGUUAUCCGGCCCCUGCUCAGUCCUCUUAAUGAUCCUGGGUCUCAUAAUGACUUCAUUCUUGGUGGAGAAGAAGGGACCAAAUCUGAUAGCACAGAGCCUCACCUUCCAUUGAAGCGAAGAGGCAUUUUUGAAUGUGUGGCCAUUCUCAACAAUCCACAGCAAGGACCUCGUUUCUUGAGUGAUGCUGAGGUGAUGAUGCUGGUCGACUCCAAACACAUUCCUGCUUACAAACUGGAGGGCGUCAUGGAGAAGCCUGAGAGAGGUGUGGCCAUACGGAGACAGAUGCUGUCAGAAAAGCUCUCCUCUCCCUCUGCACUCUCAUCGUUGCCAUUCACAGAUUAUGACUACUCCAAGGUUAUGGGCACCUGCUGUGAGAACGUCAUUGGAUAUAUACCGGUGCCGGUGGGCGUGGCUGGGCCGUUACAUCUGGAUGGGAAGCAGUUCCAAGUUCCCAUGGCGACAACUGAGGGAUGCCUUGUGGCGAGCACGAAUCGAGGAUGUCGGGCAAUUGCGCUUGGAGGUGGAGCCAGGAGUUGCAUCCUGGCCGAUAGCAUGACCCGUGGGCCUGUGGUGAGGCUGCCUUCUGCUUGCCAGGCUGCUGAGGUUAAAGCCUGGCUCGAGAGCAAUGAUGGCUUCCAAGCAAUCAAAGAAGCCUUUGAUAGCACCAGCAGGUUUGCUCGGCUCCAGAAGCUUCUUGUUGGUCUGGCUGGAAGAAAUCUCUACAUUCGUUUUCAUUCGAAGACAGGUGAUGCAAUGGGAAUGAAUAUGAUCUCGAAGGGUACAGAGCAAGCUUUGAACAAACUUCAGCAGCACUUUCCAGAGCUGCAUGUUUUGGCUGUCAGUGGGAACUACUGUACAGAUAAGAAACCAGCUGCAAUCAACUGGAUAGAAGGCAGAGGAAAAUCAGCAGUCUGUGAGGCCACCAUCCCUGCUCAUGUGGUCAGAGAGGUUUUGAAGACCUCGACAGAAGCUCUGGUGGACGUGAACAUCAAUAAAAACCUGGUGGGCUCAGCCAUGGCUGGCAGCAUCGGCGGAUUUAACGCACAUGCAGCUAACUUGGUAGCAGCCAUAUACAUUGCCUGUGGACAGGACCCUGCCCAGUCAGUGAGCAGCAGUAAUUGCAUCACCCUGAUGGAGGUUUCAGGCCCGACAGGGGAAGACCUUUACAUCAGCUGCACCAUGCCCUCCAUAGAGCUCGGCACUGUAGGGGGCGGAACAAACCUGCCUCCCCAACAAGCUUGCCUCCAGAUGCUGGGAGUACAGGGGGCCAGUGAGGUUUGUCCGGGGGAGAAUGCCAGGCAGCUUGCCAAAGUGGUGUGUGCCACUGUGCUGGCUGGAGAGCUGUCACUCAUGUCUGCCCUGGCAGCUGGCCACCUGGUCAAGAGUCACAUGACACAUAACAGAUCCAAGAUGAACCUCCAAGAGAGCGUGGGAACCUGCACCAAGCAAGCCUCCUGAGACCAUGAAGGCAGCAUGGUUCCCCUCCGUGUGCUCUGUCACUUGCUGAAUCAGCUUGUCCAGGACCAUAUGGGCAAAUAAGGGACUGAAUUGAAGACAGACUUAAAAGUGCUUACAAAAAACCCAACAACACACACGUAGUUGGUCUGACCAAGCUGCUGUCUCUCUUUUACCAUGAAAUGAUUUCAUUUCCAUGUGAAUUGAGUUUGUAUAAAAUCAUACAGCAACAACAAAAAAUGCACAUCCUCACUUUUAUUAAAAAAAAAAAAACUAAGAAAAAAAAGUUAACUGUGUUAAUGUUGAACGUGGGUUCCACAUGCAGGUACAGGUACUGUAUGUAUCAAAGACUGCAAAGGGCUGAAACAUGAUGAAGGAAUGCCAUUUGUUUGAGUGCUGUGCGAUAUGGGAAAUUUUUCAUUUUCUCUUGCUUAAUCCAAUUGAUGCAUUUGAUUAACUGUGGGACUCAGCCUGAAUUCAUUACUUGUACUUGGUGAGCGAGGCACAAAGAUCAUUAGAGUAGCACCGGAGCGAACCUCAUACCCCACAUCCAAAAAUGGCCAUAUAAGUGAUAGAGGGUUAUAUCAUACAGUAAACAUUUUAAUAUUGCACCACAAUAUAUUAUUGUAAGAUACCACAGCACUAGUUUGUAUUAUUUUAUAUUUAUGUUCUAGCACCAAAUUACUUGCAGUACAUGUUUUGUAAACUGGCGGCAACUAACUAGUUGCCAUGUCAUGUCUUCCUCAGCAAUUUCAUGUUGGUGUAUAGACAUGUUUGUCACAAGCAGUGUAGUGCUUUCACUUCUCUUUUUGAGAGAGGUGGUGCUCGUGAGCUUACAUGAAUGACUGUCUCUUACCGGUACUUGCCCUGCUAUUCAAUGGCGACCAGUCCAGGGUGCAGCCAGCUGGAAUAAGCUCCAGCUUUCUCAUGAACCUUAACGGGUGACAUAGCAAAGGAAAUGUGUGGAUGUUGUAGAAAAGACACUUCCAUCUCACCUCUCCAUUGUUUCAUAUUUGGGAAACAAUGUUAUAAAUUCAUUAACACACAGUCUCCCUGUUCCAAACAUUUUGGUUAUAUUUUGUAAUAAAAAAAUACUUUGCUUCA